GUAUUAAGGGGCUUUAAAAUAGACCUCAAAUUUAUUUUUGAGGCAAUUGCUUAUAUACCCUUGAAGACUUUCUGAUUUACCUCUCUUAAAAGGUUAAUUUUGCUCUUUUACGUUCCAACCUAUUUCAAAUAUAGCCCUAGAGUUAAAUUCUGUUAAUGAACUGUUAGUAAUAGUUGUUAUCUGUAUAAAAUUAUUAUUUUUCCCUUUCAAAUAUGCCCUUCUAUCAUCACCUACUUUUCUUAUUUGUCCUUAAGUUAGGGGCAAAAAAAAAUAUUUUAAUUUUCAGUCUUUUCAAAUAUAUCCUUCUACUAUUACUAAACAUUUCUUAUUUGCCCUUAAGUUAAGGACAAAAUAGGCAUUUUGAUUUUUUUUAACUCUAGUAUAUAUUUAACUCACGUUUAACCCAACUUAACUUAACGGGUGGUAACUGCAGGGGUAAUUUCGAAUAAUGGAGAAACAUAUGAGGGGUAUAUUGAAAAGAAAAAAAAAUAGGGAUAAAUGAGAUAUUUUUGAAGUUUUGAGGGGUAUAUAGGCAAUUAUCCCUUUAUUUUUUAACUAAUUUUUUAUAAUUUUUUAUUUUUUUAUUAUUCAUGUUAGUUGAUUAAAUCAAAAUAUUUAUAAUAUUUUAAAUAAAAUUAAAUAACUAAUAACUAAAAUUUAAUACAUCUAUUAAAUUUGCUAAAAUUUUAAUUUAUAUAAAAUUUUAAUUUAUAUAAAAUUUUAAAUUAUUUUUUUUAAGAGAAAGGUAGCAUGCUAAAAAAAAACUUACUAGAAAUGUGAAACAAUUAAGUUUCGAACUUGAGACCUCAUUACCAACCACUUACAAUAAGAACAAUCAAUAUUAUUUUAAUAUUAUUUUUUCUAAAUUUUUCACACAUAUCUAUAUCUAUAUCUAUACUUGU
rnacentral:lncRNA from 1 species